GCCUAAGGAAAGCAGGGAGGGAAGAGGGAGGACGUGAGAACUACAGAAGGGUUGUUUUGCAGCAAUGCCAAGAGGCACCUGCAAGCACAAGGGGAUGCUGAGGUGCUGUGGGUGAUGCAAGCUGCUGCUGUGACAGCUUUUUCAGCUUGCUUCUCUGUAUCACUGUCAUAGAUCAAAAAAGAGCUAAAGGCAGCUUUGCACUCUCCGCUGUACCCCCGCUUGCAGAGAGGAACUGCUCCCCGUGCUGGGAUACUCACUGCUGCUGCAUCAAACAAGUGGAACGGAGCAAAGAUGAUCAUCACUUUGGACACCAACAUAACGAUCUCCCUGUUGGAAAGAUGUACGCACUGGUCAGGGAAAGCAGCACAGUGUGCUCUCAAGGCACUCUGACCCAUCUGCAAAGCCUGAUCCCAGCCUCUGGGCUGCUCCUGGGCAGGUCGUGUUACCCAGAACAGUAACAAAGCUCCAAAGCAAGCUGCCAACCCACCUGUCGUUGGUGAAGAUGUAGCCCACCACAUCUUUGAGGGUUCCCAGUAACGUUGCAACCACCACAGCAAAAACUCCUAAAGAGAAGGAAGUAAUUGAACCUCAAAGGCUGCACACACUGCUCCUGAGCAGGUCCAGACCUCAGGGGCUUCGUGUGAUGGGGACAGGGCUCGGCAGACCUCCAGGGACCUGGGCUGACCUGCACACAGCACAGCAGUGAUGCAGGAUGUCUUGGCUUGCACGACGUCCCCCGAUCCCAAAGCAUUGCCCACUCUGACGCUCACGGCCACGCUGAAGCCCAGAGGCACCUGAUUAGCAGCAGAUAAAGAAGAGCUCCAGCAGACCUGGUGGCAAGCACCUGUCCCUUGCUGCGGAUAUGGACCAGACCCCCAGCCCCAUCCCUGGCCUGAUCUUUCCAAGCUGACUGGCUGGGGACAAAGGGUUGCUACACGUGGCACCCAAGAUAAACCCCCACAGCCCCAGGCAAACCCCUGCACACAGAGAGAGGCCGUCACCACCUCCGCUCACACUUACACCAUGCCCAGCUUCAGUGCAUAUAGGAAGAAGGCGUUCAUGGCCACAUUGAGGAUGUUGGCUGCAAUUCCUGUCACCACCUGAGGCAAAAUGAUCGCCUGGAAGACAAGCAGAGACUUCAGAGUUUGCUUCUCCAGCACUGCCCGAGAUCCCAAGCCUGCAGCCACCACCCCAGCUACCAUCCAGCAAACACUGGGAAGACCUUCAGCAGUGUCUGAGGAGAAAGCCGGGAAGGUGGCUCCUGUUUCAGGUAAGAUCAGAUUGUAUUAGACAUGCAGAAGGCAGCAUGCAGGGCUCAGCAGUUGGUACGGUCAGCUCAGUGCAGAGCUCAGAGGUGGCAGCAGGAGAAUGGAGCAACCCAAAGGUGAUCCCCACAAGCUCCUCCUGUCCCGCAGAGCCAGCUGGAGGCUGUGGAUCACACAUUCCUCAGCCCAGCUCUCCCCAGGACAGGAUGAACUUAGAUCUCCAACCUUAUCCAUGUUCCUAGCAGCUGGCCCAGAGCCCGGUUACACAAUAAAUACCUGACUUAGUAAAUAUCUUGUCUGCAGCUGGUACAGAAACGCCGCCUGCAAGAGUCAGAAUUCAUGUGGUCAGCACUGCUGUACUACGGUCCAGUGGCCAGCUACAGUUUAACACCCACAGCGAGGUACUUCCCACAGCUCCUGCAUGGCUGUCAGGGUGCCACAACACGGCACGCUGCCCACAGUCCCUCCCGUGCCUAUGCUUGAUUUUAACCUUGGAGAACAGCCUCAGCUUAGAGGAGCUUCUCCAGAGAGGCAGAUAACAGCUGGGAGCCCAGCGGCUGCAUGCCUGUGAGCUGCAGCCUUUAUCACAGAGCUGAUUGAGCUCUGCAGCACUCAGUUCCAAUGUCCAGAGCUUGUGACUUGUUGUGCAGAGACGUGGCCUGCAGUAAAAGCCUCUGCACACUAAUACGAAGGAAUGCAUGUUUGCUGGUCCAGCAGCUGCUGGCCAGUGUGUGUCCAUUAAGGCUUAAGAGGCACAUUGUAAAACUCCAAAUCGUGCUGCCUUGUGAUCCACGGAGCAAGGACCCUUCCUCCUUUCCCCACGUGUUACUGAGGGAUGCAGAGCUUCUAAAAGCUUUAGCAGCAACUUACAGGAAGAGCUGGAAUAAAGAUCAUCACGUAGACCUGCGUUAACCUGGGAAGAGAGAUGUUUACCCAGUUAAUGAGGCAGGAAAGCAAGAGCCAAACCAAGCAGAGUUGUAUUUGAGCUCCACAGAGCUUUGACUUCAACACUAGGCAGUAAUCCAGGCACAGCCAAACGCCCAAUGCAGAUGGGCCUGACCAAGGGGUUUCAGGGCCUGGAGAGCUUAGACCUGCUGUGCUGCUGACCAGAGAGGGGUCACAUUCAGUCUCACUCUGACCUGGAGACCUUGGGGUCCUGCCGGAGGAGCAGGAGGAUCUGCUCAGUGUUGAUGAAGAUCGCCCAGCAAGGAAAGCAAAACAGCAGCAGGAUGAGGAUCCCUCGCUGCAGGAUGGUGCCCACUUGCUUCAGGUUUUUGCUGCCGUAUGUCUACGUGAGGACAGAGGGCCAAACAGUGGCCACCAUCAGGCUGGUUGGGUUUAGCCGGCUCUCGGGUGGACUGUGCUUCCCUCUGCUACCCCCCCUCCCCAUCUUUUGUGCCCAAAACCACGCUGCACGGGAGGUGAGACGCUGCCAACCCAACCCCAGCAGUAACAAGGAAAGGGGAGCUGCCACCAACCUGGGACAUGAGCGUGUCACAUGCCGAGGCCAGGCCAGAACCAACGGAGAUGCCGAUCACAUUGAUGACCUGGAGGAGACGCUCGGGAACAUCCAGCCAGGGAUGAACGGCCGAAGGACUACAGACAGUGCAGCUCCCCACUGCACACACACAGCUCGGUCUGCCCAGCUGCUGGCCUUGCACAGCCGCUGCUGCUCAGCUCACAUCUCCUGCCUCUGCCCAGGGCAAAGGAAGAACAGCUUGGUGGAUGCAAUCUCCGUGUUGCAUCAGGCUGUGCGCAAGGAAUCCUCAGAUAAGCAUUCCUCCGGGGCUUUUCUUUUUCCCCUUCUUCUUUUCUAUUCCCCUUUUGCAAUGUCUCACCAUUGUCGUGUUUCAAAUCAGAGGAUAAGCAGAGCAAUACUUACAGACACGGCCAGCGUCACAGCAUCGAGCUCAGCCUUCCCCAGAUGGCCGCAGAAUAUAGAGCUGACCACGCUGAUCAGGAACCCCAGCAGCUGGGCUACAAACUAGAAUGGGAAGAGGAGAUGGAGAAGUGAGCGCCGUUGGGACAGAGGAGCACCGCCCUUCCCCAGCAGCCGGGCCAUGGCUGGCUGGGUUUGAACCAACUGCAAGCUUCCCCCAGGUUGCUGCAGGCUUUGUCCUCAAACCCCAGUGGUACUUUGGUGGUACAGAGCCAAUCUGCCAGGUGUCCUUGUUUAGCUGAGGUUUAAUGGCUCCCCUGGAAAGCCUCUUUUCCACCAGGACAGCUGAGUGGAGAAGGAAAAUGAAGACUCCCAAUGCUUUUUUUUGCACUUCCAUGCAGCCGGGGAAAGCUCAGCUCCCCAAAACAGUGUCCUCUCCUCCAAGUCUGGCCUGCACCUUCCUCUCAACCAAGGGUUGGUGAUACUGUCACAGACAGUGAGCUCAGGACCUCAUUUUCUUUGGCAAGAGGUCAAUUCCAAUGCAGCAUGGAACUGCUGGAGGAGGAUGGCUCCAGAGCUGCUGAACAACUGGCUCCUGGGAGGUCUGAGGAAGAACCACCAAACCUCCCACCGCUGCCUGCAGAUGUUGCAUCGUCUCAGGCCUCAACACGUCCAAGCAGCUGUGAGUAACCCCUGCAGGAGAGCUCUGCACCUCUGUGACUGCUCCAGCGCAGGGCUGGACACGAAAAGCACACGAACUCAUGAGAGCUACACCUGGCAAACAGCACCAGGUUUGGUUUGAGGUCCUCUGUGCCCACCAAGCAGGGGAUGGAAGCGUUGAGGGGCUGACGGGCACCGCUACAGGAACAGAAACCGCCGAGACUUCCUCCGCUGCACCGUCGCAUUGGGGCCACGUGAGUGUCAGUGAGGACAUCUGAGGUGCUCCGCUCGGUCCCCGUCUCCCAGGAGGGACGGAGGGCUCAGGACGCACAGCAUUGGCUUAGAUGGAUUUUCAGCCCAAACCAGCAGGAAGGCCCGGGCUCCCAACGCACCGCCGGCGGAGGGAGACGGCCGGGAGGGAAGGAACGUGCCGCGCUGGGUGAUGGCGAAGGGAUGAGCCCCGUCCGUGCUGGCAGGCAGGUGCGGGCGGCACCGAAGCGGCUCAGAGCAGCGGAAAAGCUCCGCGGAAAGCUCCGUUCGUUCAGCCCCCCCCACCCCGCGCCCCGCGCCGCUCCCCGCCCCGCA